ensembl:lncRNA
AAGUUAAUGUUUUUUUGAUAAUGGACAUUUUAGUAUGCAAUGUAGUUAAUGGCGAGUUGAAUUAGUCAUUCUCUAACAUAUUUCAAGAUGGUUUUAUUUUCAAAUUAUUAUUACUAUGAUUAGUUUUUUUUACAUUUUUUUUUUUUGCCUUUUGUAGCCAAGCUAAACUGCAUAAUGAACAUAACUAAUGGCUUUUUUGUACGUCCUAACCUGCAAGUCUGCUCUGGUUAUACAGCAUGGCAAGUUGCCAUGCUUGCGUAGUUCCAGUGAAUACAAGUGCAAAGUACAAAACAUGAAGACUGCAGCUUGCAUUUUCUGUUCUAUUGAAGUAAACAAGGCGGUGAAGUUUCACUCGUCACACCCCAACAGAACACAUUAAAAGAAACAUUUGUCCCUUCCUCUCUUUAUUUUUUUUUUAGUAGUAGCCACCAGGGCCUUGCCUUUGUGCUGCCACAUGUAUACGUUCAUUGUUACCGUGCCCUGCAGCCUGCAGUCUCUCACAGUAUGUGGUGUUCAUCAGCACUCUGGUCACAUAGGUUUGUCUCUGUGGCCUCUGCACUGGGAUCUGAGUCUGUGAAGUGGCUGCCAGGCCCCUAAGGACACUGAUAAGCCCCCCAUAACAUUCAUUCCCCAGUUUACGUGUGUGUGCGCAUGAGAGAGAGUCAGAGACUGAGAUAGAAAGCGUGCGGGUGUGUUUGACAGAAAGGAACAGUGUUAUAUAUAUGUGUGUGCGUGAACUAGGCCAGGCUGAUAACAGCAUGGUAAGAGAGGCAGCAGCUGAUAAGCCCCUCUUGUUGCUUGGGGUAACCAGGCCUUGUUAAAUGAAUGCAGUAAAAUAUGGUCUGCCAGAGAACAGCAGAGGUGGUCGCAAUACUGUUUUUACAAUCUCUCUCGCGUGCAAACGUGAGUGGUUUAGCCGUCACUGAAAGUAAAUCAUUGGAAAGGUAUUUCUUUCUUUCUUUCUUUCUUUCUUUCUUUCUUUCUUUCUUUCUUUCUUUCUUUCUUUCUUUCUUUCUUUCUUUCUUUCUUUCUUUCUUUCUUUCUUUCUUUCUUUCUUUCUUUCUUUCUUUUAAUCUACAUUUUCUGGCACAGCAUUUAUAGAGAGUCAAACAGCCGCGCUCAAAACCCUACACUCUCUGAAAAGUACUUUCACUUUCUCUUCAGCACAUGUCAUGCAGCAUACAGUCAUACACCCAAACGUCUUCUAACAUUUUCUUUUGUUAUAUUUAGUUCUUUUUUUCUUUUGGUCUUUUUUCUGUGUCUCCUUUCUAUACUAUACAGAGUAGUAGGCCUGUUGUAUGGAAUAAGAAGCAGUCUGCUUACCUUUGUGUUUACAGCUCGUGCCUGUAUGUGACAGAGCAGCAGCUGCCUGCAAGAUCCAAGAGGGAAACGGAAAUUGUUCUCAUUACUUUUGGCAAACACAGAACCUUCAUCUGCUUACAGGCGUGGGAUCAGUUCCCUCCUGUCAGUGUCUAGCCACCAGAGAGAGUGCGUCACGCAGACGUGAGAUCACAGAUCAGCGUAGAUCACGGUGAUUUUUUUUUCUUCUUUUUCUAGUCGUUGUCAGUUCACGCUUCCUCUUUUCAUUUUUCCAGAGAACUGAGCCCCCCCCCCCCCCCCCCCCCCAAACACACGCACCCCUCCCUCCCCUCCCAUGCUGCGAGAUCUCAUUGGUUACCUGUGUUGUGAGUCAAGGUAACCCAUAGUGACCAUUGUCAGUGCAGAGCAAAUGUAAACACGGGUGUAUUUGCAAUGUAAAGCAGCAGAGAGCCAAGCAACCAAUCUGCAAC